rnacentral:rRNA from 1 species
AUUGAACGCUGGCGGCAGGCUUAACACAUGCAAGUCGAGCGGGGUGAUGGUGCUUGCACUAUCACUUAGCGGCGGACGGGUGAGUAAUGCUUAGGAAUCUGCCUAGUAGUGGGGGACAACAUCUCGACAGGGAUGCUAAUACCGCAUACGUCCUACGGGAGAAAGCAGGGGAUCACUUGUGACCUUGCGCUAAUAGAUGAGCUUAAGUCGGAUUAGCUAGUUGGUGGGGUAAAGGCCUACCAAGGCGACGAUCUGUAGCGGGUCUGAGAGGAUGAUCCGCCACACUGGGACUGAGACACGGCCCAGACUCCUACGGGAGGCAGCAGUGGGGAAUAUUGGACAAUGGGGGGAACCCUGAUCCAGCCAUGCCGCGUGUGUGAAGAAGGCCUUAUGGUUGUAAAGCACUUUAAGCGAGGAGGAGGCUCUUUUGGUUAAUACCCAAGAUGAGUGGACGUUACUCGCAGAAUAAGCACCGGCUAACUCUGUGCCAGCCGCCGCAGUAA